rnacentral:misc_RNA from 1 species
AGCAGCCGCGGUAAUUCCAGCUCCAAUAGCGUAUAUUAAAGUUGUUGCAGUUAAAAAGCUCGUAGUUGAAUUUCGGGAUCAAUUAGUCGGUCGUGCCUCUGGUACGUACUGGUUUUAUUGGUUCCUCCCUUCUGACGAAACAUGACGUCAUUAAUUUGGUGUCUUGGGGAAUCAGGACUGUUACUUUGAAAAAAUUAGAGUGUUUAAAGCAGGCUCGCGCUUGAAUACAUUAGCAUGGAAUAAUGAAAUAGGACGUUUGAUUCUAUUUUGUUGGUUUCUAGGAUCGACGUAAUGAUUAAUAGGGAUAGUUGGGGGCAUUAGUAUUCAAUUGUCAGAGGUGAAAUUCUUGGAUUUAUUGAAGACUAACUACUGCGAAAGCAUUUGCCAAGGAUGUUUUCAUUAAUCAAGAACGAAAGUUAGGGGAUCGAAGACGAUCAGAUAACCGUCGUAGUCUUAACCAUAAACUAUAGCCGACUAGGGAUCGGAUGAUGUUAAUUUUUAAUGACUCAUUCGGCGCCUU